rnacentral:rRNA from 1 species
GUCGAGAAUCUUCCGCAAUGCGCGAAAGCGUGACGGAGCGACACCGCGUGAUGGAUGAAGUCCUUCGGGGCGUAAAGAUCUUUUAUAAAGGAGGAAAUUUUUGACGUUACUUUAUGAAUAAGGGGCUCCCAAUCUCGUGCCAGCAGGAGCGGUAAUACGAGAGCCUCAAGCGUUAUCCGGAAUCAUUGGGCGUAAAGGGUGCGUAGGUGGUUUGAUUAGUCUCCCGUUAAAACUUCGAGCUUAACUCGAAAAGAGCGGGGGAAACGGUCAAACUAGAGUAUGUGAGAGGUGUGUGGAACUCAUGGUGUAGGGGUGAAAUCCGUUGAUAUCAUGGGGAACACCAAAAGCGAAGGCAGCACACUGGCACAUCACUGACACUGAGGCACGAAACCUAAGGUAGCGAAUGGGAUUAGAAACCCUGGUAGUCC